GUGUAAAUAGUGGUCAAUUUCAAACAACCAGCAGUGGCACCCCUGAACCCAGCCUCAGAAAGAAACGCACAUCUGCACACACAGAAUAUUCCUCCGCACAGAUACAAUAGGCAUGAAUUACCCCAGAGAGAGUGGUGAGUGAUACAAUUUGACUCUAGAGGAUGGUCGUGCUUCAUAACCAGCUUGCAACGUUCCUAGGAAUUUAACGCUCAGCUCUGGAGAGAGCCUCGGGCACCCACCACUCUACUUCCUGUCUGCCUGACUUGACUAUUC